rnacentral:rRNA from 1 species
GAUCCUGCCAGUAGUCAUAUGCUUGUCUCAAAGAUUAAGCCAUGCAUGUCUCAGUACAAGCCAAAUUAAGGUGAAACCGCGAAAGGCUCAUUAAAUCAGUUAUGGUUCCUUAGAUCGUACCAACAUUUACUUGGAUAACUGUGGUAAUUCUAGAGCUAAUACAUGCAAACAGAGCUCCGACCGGAGACGGAAGGAGCGCUUUUAUUAGAUCAAAACCAAUCGGCGGCGUGUUCGUUCGCGGGCUCGCCGUCGUUCGCAUUGACGAAUCUGAAUAACUUUCUGCUGAUCGCACGGUCUUGCACCGGCGACGCAUCUUUCAAAUGUCUGCCUUAUCAACUGUCGAUGGUAGGUUCUGUGCCUACCAUGGUUGUAACGGGUAACGGGGAAUCAGGGUUCGAUUCCGGAGAGGGAGCCUGAGAAACGGCUACCACAUCCAAGGAAGGCAGCAGGCGCGCAAAUUACCCACUCCCGGCACGGGGAGGUAGUGACGAAAAAUAACGAUACGGGACUCAUCCGAGGCCCCGUAAUCGGAAUGAGAACAAUUUAAAUCCUUUAACGAGGAUCAAUUGGAGGGCAAGUCUGGUGCCAGCAGCCGCGGUAAUUCCAGCUCCAAUAGCGUAUAUUAAAGUUGUUGCGGUUAAAAAGCUCGUAGUCGAAUCUGUGUCCCGCGCCGCCGGUUCGUCGCUCGCGGCGUUUAACUGGCGUGUCCGCGGGACGUCCUGCCGGUGGGCUUAGCUCCUCCUUUGGGGCGGCCCAAUCAUAAUCCCGCCGCGGUGCUCUUCACCGAGUGUCGAGGCGGGCCGGCACGUUUACUUUGAACAAAUUAGAGUGCUUAAAGCAGGCUAAAACUUUGCCUGAAUACUUCGUGCAUGGAAUAAUGGAAUAGGACCUCGGUUCUAUUUUGUUGGUUUUCGGAACCCCGAGGUAAUGAUUAAUAGGAACGGAUGGGGGCAUUCGUAUUGCGACGUUAGAGGUGAAAUUCUUGGAUCGUCGCAAGACGGACAGAAGCGAAAGCAUUUGCCAAAAACGUUUUCAUUGAUCAAGAACGAAAGUUAGAGGUUCGAAGGCGAUCAGAUACCGCCCUAGUUCUAACCAUAAACGAUGCCAGCUAGCGAUCCGCCGAAGUUCCUCCGAUGACUCGGCGGGCAGCUUCCGGGAAACCAAAGCUUUUGGGUUCCGGGGGAAGUAUGGUUGCAAAGCUGAAACUUAAAGGAAUUGACGGAAGGGCACCACCAGGAGUGGAGCCUGCGGCUUAAUUUGACUCAACACGGGAAACCUCACCAGGCCCGGACACCGGAAGGAUUGACAGAUUGAGAGCUCUUUCUUGAUUCGGUGGGUGGUGGUGCAUGGCCGUUCUUAGUUGGUGGAGCGAUUUGUCUGGUUAAUUCCGAUAA